rnacentral:rRNA from 1 species
UACGUAGGGUGCGAGCGUUGUCCGGAAUUAUUGGGCGUAAAGAGCUCGUAGGCGGUCUGUCGCGUCUGCUGUGAAAACUGGAGGCUCAACCUCCAGCCUGCAGUGGGUACGGGCAAACUAGAGUGCGGUAGGGGAGAUUGGAAUUCCUGGUGUAGCGGUGGAAUGCGCAGAUAUCAGGAGGAACACCGAUGGCGAAGGCAGAUCUCUGGGCCGUAACUGACGCUGAGGAGCGAAAGCAUGGGGAGCGAACAGG